rnacentral:snoRNA from 2 species
GUGACGAUGCUUCACCUCGCGGAUUUGUGAAGAGUCCUUUAAGAACUGA